CCGCCUCCCACGUGCGGGUGCUCCUCUCCCAGAGCUCACCAGUCCUUCCAGCAGUCCUCAGGUUGCACGCGACCAGCAGUGGACUUUACUGAGUAGGGGUGGGAAGCCGGUGGCUCCGGGCAGCCGUGAUAACCCGGCACAGAAGCAGAGUCGCAUUUCGGAGCGUCCACCCGUAACCUGGCUUCUCGCACAUGGAGCCCAUAGUCCAGGAGAGAGAAGGCCAGGGCGGCCCUGGAGAGGUUGUAGGUGCAGGCGGAUCGGCGGCGGAGACCCCUUCGUGCUCAGGAAGGCACUGCGAUGUACAGCCAAACAAGGUGACUAGCUGCCUGCCAGGAGACCUUAUUAAAAGAUUUCAUUUCUUCGCAUCCAGCUCUGUUUCCUGAGGCAUUUGCAAACCAAUUCAGCACUAUGGAAAAACAAGUCCAGGAAAGAAAUGUUUUAAAAGCUGGCACAUCAAGCUGGGUACAAUGUCUCAUACCUGCACUUGGAAAUCUGAAGCAGGAGGAAGGCGGAAAGGCUUGGGCUACAAGUGAGACUGUCUCAGAAAACAAAAAAACAAACAAAUUACUCCCCCCCCCAUCCCCCAGAAAACCAAAACCAAAACAGAAAGUAAAAGAAUAACAUGAUGUCCUGGUGUCAGUGGCUCUUGGAUCUCUCUAGUUUUCUCUAUUUUGACAAUAUCAACAAACUAAUUCCUUAGAACCACCAUGUGGCAAUGUGACUUGCAGAUGCCUCAGAAAUGGGCUACUGUGUGGUAUCUCGGUAGAGGAUUCGUAUGAUUUCUUUCAUGACUGUACAUGCUUUCCUUCUUAAUGCUUUGGCUUUGCCUACUUACUAGAAGUGUUCAAUGGCACACAGAUGCUUUCUCUGUACUGUCUAUUCUCACUCAGUCUAGUUCCGCAUUUGAUGUUGGUGUCUUCUCCAGACACCAAUGCCACAGAGUGUUGACAUAGGCAAAGUUCAUCUGUAGAAGAUCCUUUCCAUAGCCUGAGUGUUGCCAAGGCUUUCUUAGGAAAAGCCUUCCAAAUGUUAGAGGCCCGGAGUUUUAGCAUGAGUGUCUUGUCAAAUAAUCUCAAUAAAGAGAAUCAUUGUCCCAAGGAUUAACAGUGAUACUCCUUCUAUUGCCUAUCCCAGCUAUCUUAUGAAAGGGAUCAUAGUAAUUAUUUUCUUUGUGUUAUUAGGAGCCUAGUUCUGUUUCCUAGCACACUACAGCUUUAUAUUGUGCUUAAAUGUCUUUGGGUAAAUGCCUGUCCACGUGAUCACUCAUCAUUGUAGGCCUUGCAUCUGGGCUGGCCGUGACAUCCAUAGUCAGAGCUGGGUGAGGCUCUUCUUCAAGGAGGGACGUUACAAGGAUACUGC
rnacentral:lncRNA from 1 species